UUGGAGGGCAAGUCUGGUGCCAGCAGCCGCGGUAAUUCCAGCUCCAAUAGCGUAUAUUAAAGUUGUUGCAGUUAAAAAGCUCGUAGUUGAAUUUCGGGGUUAGUAGAUUGGUCAUGCCUCUGGUAUGCACUGGUCUCACUGAUUCCUCCUUCCUGAUGAGCCGUAAUGCCAUUAAUUUGGUGUUGCGGGGAAUUUGGACUGUUACUUUGAAAAAAUUAGAGUGUUUAAAGCAAGCUAACGCUUGAAUACAUUAGCAUGGAAUAAUGAAAUAGGACGUUCGAUCCUAUUUUGUUGGUUUCUAGGAUUGACGUAAUGAUUAAUAGGGAUAGUUGGGGGCAUUAGUAUUCAAUUGUCAGAGGUGAAAUUCUUGGAUUUAUUGAAGACUAACUACUGCGAAAGCAUUUGCCAAGGAUGUUUUCAUUAAUCAAGAACGAAAGUUAGGGGAUCGAAGACGAUCAGAUACCGUCGUAGUCUUAACCAUAAACUAUGCCGACUAGGGAUCGGAUGAUGUUAAUUUUUUAAUGACUCAUUCGGCGCCUUACGGGAAAC
rnacentral:rRNA from 1 species